UACGGAGGGUGCAAGCAUUAAUCGGAUUUAUUGGGCGUAAAGGACGUGUAGGCUGCGCGGUAAGUCGGGUGUGAAAUCCCGGGGCUCAACCCCGGAACAGCACUCGAAACUGCCGCUCUAGAGGGUAGGCGGAGAAAACGGAAUUCCACAAGUAGCGGUGAAAUGCGUAGAUAUGUGGAAGAACACCUGUGGCGAAAGCGGCUCACUGGACCACAACUGACGCUGAGGCGCGAAAGCUAGGGGAGCAAACAGG
rnacentral:rRNA from 1 species